AAAUGUCAUACCAACAUUUGAGUAAUAAAAAGCUUACCACUUUGGUAAGAACACCGCAGCAUCGUGAUUACACUGUUUAAUCUCAAUAUAUAGUGUACAGUUACUAUACAGGCUGUCCCGCGAAGAUAUACCCCUUUAAUAUCUCUGGAUAAAAUAAAGAUAAUCAAAUUCUGUUAUCGCGUAACAAGGUUAGGUCAUUCCCUAGAUAACAUCGGUUUUCACAUGGGUUAAUAGAAUUUAAGACGGCUAUUACUUAAAAAUUAUUCAUCAGAUAUAAAUGUGUGUUGCAUUAAAAUUUACAGCAUGGCUAUCUUAACAUUUUCCGAAAAUAAUAAAAUAUAAACUUAUUUUUUGAAUAA